GGACUAUAGUGCAGCGGUAGAGCAUCUGCUUUGCAUGUAGAAGGUCGCAGGUUCAAUCCCUAGCAUCUCCA